GACGAACGCUGGCGGCGUGCCUAAUACAUGCAAGUAGAACGCUGAAGGAGGAGCUUGCUUCUCUGGAUGAGUUGCGAACGGGUGAGUAACGCGUAGGUAACCUGCCUGGUAGCGGGGGAUAACUAUUGGAAACGAUAGCUAAUACCGCAUAAUAGCAGUUGUUGCAUGACAACUGUUUGAAAGGUGCAAUUGCACCACUACCAGAUGGACCUGCGUUGUAUUAGCUAGUUGGUGGGGUAACGGCUCACCAAGGCGACGAUACAUAGCCGACCUGAGAGGGUGAUCGGCCACACUGGGACUGAGACACGGCCCAGACUCCUACGGGAGGCAGCAGUAGGGAAUCUUCGGCAAUGGACGGAAGUCUGACCGAGCAACGCCGCGUGAGUGAAGAAGGGUUUCGGAUCGGAAAGCUCUGUUGUAAGAGAAGAACGAGUGUGAGAGUGGAAAGUUCACACUGUGACGGUAUCUUACCAGAAAGGGACGGCUAACUACGUG
rnacentral:rRNA from 1 species